rnacentral:rRNA from 1 species
GGUUAAGCGACUAAGCGUACACGGUGGAUGCCCUGGCAGUCAGAGGCGAUGAAGGACGUGCUAAUCUGCGAAAAGCGUCGGUAAGGUGAUAUGAACCGUUACAGCCGGCGAUGUCCGAAUGGGGAAACCCAGUGCAAUUCGUUGCACUAUCGUUAACUGAAUACAUAGGUUAACGAGGCGAACCGGGGGAACUGAAACAUCUAAGUACCCCGAGGAAAAGAAAUCAACCGAGAUUCCCCCAGUAGCGGCGAGCGAACGGGGAGCAGCCCAGAGUCUGAAUCAGCUUGUGUGUUAGUGGAACGGUCUGGAAAGUCCGACGGUACAGGGUGAUAGUCCCGUACACCAAAAUGCACAGGCUGUGAACUCGAAGAGUAGGGCGGGACACGUGGUAUCCUGUCUGAAUAUGGGGGGACCAUCCUCCAAGGCUAAAUACUCCUGACUGACCGAUAGUGAACCAGUACCGUGAGGGAAAGGCGAAAAGAACCCCGGCGAGGGGAGUGAAAAAGAACCUGAAACCGUGUACGUACAAGCAGUGGGAGCACCUUCGGGUGUGACUGCGUACCUUUUGUAUAAUGGGUCAGCGACUUAUAUUCUGUAGCAAGGUUAACCGUAUAGGGGAGCCGCAGGGAAACCGAGUCUUAACUGGGCGUUAAGUUGCAGGGUAUAGACCCGAAACCCGGUGAUCUAGCCAUGGGCAGGUUGAAGGUUGGGUAACACUAACUGGAGGACCGAACCGACUAAUGUUGAAAAAUUAGCGGAUGACUUGUGGCUGGGGGUGAAAGGCCAAUCAAACCGGGAGAUAGCUGGUUCUCCCCGAAAGCUAUUUAGGUAGCGCCUCGUGAAUUCAUCUUCGGGGGUAGAGCACUGUUUCGGCUAGGGGGUCAUCCCGACUUACCAACCCGAUGCAAACUACGAAUACCGAAGAAUGUUAUCACGGGAGACACACGGCGGGUGCUAACGUCCGUCGUGAAGAGGGAAACAACCCAGACCGCCAGCUAAGGUCCCAAAGUCAUGGUUAAGUGGGAAACGAUGUGGGAAGGCACAGACAGCCAGGAUGUUGGCUUAGAAGCAGCCAUCAUUUAAAGAAAGCGUAAUAGCUCACUGGUCGAGUCGGCCUGCGCGGAAGAUGUAACGGGGCUAAACCAUGCACCGAAGCUGCGGCAGCGACACUAUGUGUUGUUGGGUAGGGGAGCGUUCUGUAAGCCUGCGAAGGUGACCUGUGAGGGUUGCUGGAGGUAUCAGAAGUGCGAAUGCUGACAUAAGUAACGAUAAAGCGGGUGAAAAGCCCGCUCGCCGGAAGACCAAGGGUUCCUGUCCAACGUUAAUCGGGGCAGGGUGAGUCGACCCCUAAGGCGAGGCCGAAAGGCGUAGUCGAUGGGAAACAGGUUAAUAUUCCUGUACUUGGUGUUACUGCGAAGGGGGGACGGAGAAGGCUAUGUUAGCCGGGCGACGGUUGU